CUCAUUAAAUAUUGAAUUUAUUCAAAAUCGUCAGAUAUCUUAUUAAAAAAUAUAUGAUAUACGAGGUGGUAUCGAUUGUUUAAAAAAUGGACAAUACGAAGUGGAAACUUUCAGUUUUUUGGUUACUUUACCGUCCGCGUCGGUUUUCGGUUUUGGAGUUUUUUUCUGGAGAUCUAAGCACCUGCAGGAUUAUUAAUAGAUUUUUGAUACAUCUGGGUUAAUGCAAAAAGUUUG